rnacentral:misc_RNA from 1 species
UUAACUAUUAUAUAGUACUCAGACGACAUAAAAUUCAGAGUUUAGGUCCUCUGGCAGACACUUACCAGCCGGAGCCGGUAGCCAGGCGUAAACCUGACGGCCUGCCAAAGCAACAAAAGUAUAGUACUCAAGGGUGGGAGGUCUACCCCGAAGGGCAUGAACUCUGUAAUGAUCCUUCCGCAGGUUCACCUACGGAAA